rnacentral:rRNA from 1 species
GAUGAACGCUGGCGGCGUGCCUAAUACAUGCAAGUCGAGCGAACAGACGAGGAGCUUGCUCCUCUGACGUUAGCGGCGGACGGGUGAGUAACACGUGGAUAACCUACCUAUAAGACUGGGAUAACUUCGGGAAACCGGAGCUAAUACCGGAUAAUAUAUUGAACCGCAUGGUUCAAUAGUGAAAGACGGUUUUGCUGUCACUUAUAGAUGGAUCCGCGCCGCAUUAGCUAGUUGGUAAGGUAACGGCUUACCAAGGCAACGAUGCGUAGCCGACCUGAGAGGGUGAUCGGCCACACUGGAACUGAGACACGGUCCAGACUCCUACGGGAGGCAGCAGUAGGGAAUCUUCCGCAAUGGGCGAAAGCUUGACGGAGCAACGCCGCGUGAGUGAUGAAGGUCUUCGGAUCGCAAAACUCUGUUAUUAGGGAAGAACAAAUGUGUAAGUAACUAUGCACGUCUUGACGGUACCUAAUCAGAAAGCCACGGCUAACUACGUG